CCUACGGGCGGCAGCAGUGAGGAAUAUUGGUCAAUGGGCGCAAGCCUGAACCAGCCAAGUAGCGUGAAGGAUGACGGCCCUACGGGUUGUAAACUUCUUUUGUCAAGGGAUAAAAUGAGGCACGAGUGCCUUUCUGUGUGUACUUUAAGAAUAAGCAUCGGCUAACUCCGUGCCAGCAGCCGCGGUAAUACGGAGGAUCCGAGCGUUAUCCGGAUUUAUUGGGUUUAAAGGGUGCGUAGGUGGGUUGUUAAGUCAGUUGUGAAAGUACGCGGCUCAACCGUGAAAUAGCAAUUGAUACUGGCAGUCUUGAGUACAGGUGAGGUAGGCGGAAUUCGGGGUGUAGCGGUGAAAUGCUUAGAUAUUACGAAGAACGCCGAUUGCGAAGGCAGCAUACUAAACUGCCACUGACAUUGAGGCUCGAAAGUGUGGGUAUCAAACAGGAUUAGAUACCCUUGUAGUC
rnacentral:rRNA from 1 species